CACUUAUCAAGAAAGACUGAGGGACUAGGCCCUGUGACGUCUUAGCAACCUGUAAAAGCUGGUGCUAAUUCCUAGCCUCGAAUUUAUUCGAGGAAAAGAUGAGCC
rnacentral:ncRNA from 1 species